UAGGGAAUUUUCUGCAAUGGGCGAAAGCCUGACAGAGCAACGCCGCGUGAGUGAAGACGGCCUUCGGGUUGUAAAUCUCUGUUAUUGGGGAAGAACAAAAUGACGGUACCCAAGAAGAAAGCCCCGGCUAACUACGUGCCAGCAGCCGCGGUAAUACGUAGGGGGCAAGCGUUGUCCGGAAUUAUUGGGCGUAAAGGGCGCGCAGGCGGUUCUUUAAGUUGAGUGUAAAAGGCAGUGGCUCAACCACUGUAGGCACCCAAAACUGGAGGACUUGAGUGCAGGAGAGGGGAGUGGAAUUCCCGGUGUAGCGGUGGAAUGCGUAGAGAUCGGGAGGAACACCAGUGGCGAAGGCGGCUCUCUGGCCUGUAACUGACGCUGAGGCGCGAAAGCGUGGGGAGCAAACAGGAUUAGAUACCCCGGUAGUCC
rnacentral:rRNA from 1 species